rnacentral:rRNA from 1 species
UACGUGGGGGGCAAGCGUUGUUCGGAAUUACUGGGCGUAAAGGGCUCGUAGGCGGCCAACUAAGUCAUACGUGAAAUCCCUCGGCUUAACCGGGGAACUGCGUCUGAUACUGGAUGGCUUGAGUUCGGGAGAGGGAUGCGGAAUUCCAGGUGUAGCGGUGAAAUGCGUAGAUAUCAGGAGGAACACCGAUGGCGAAGGCAGCUCGCUGGGACGGUACUGACGCUGAGACGCGAAAGCGUGGGGAGCGAACAGG